UGAACCAUCAGAGAAUCAGUGGCUGCAAAAGACAAGCUGUAGUUCAGAUGAGAUGCUGCACUGUGGAUCUGCCCUGUGGGUAUGCUGGCACUAAGGAAUUCCCUUCCUGGCUCAUGCCACAGAUCAAUUUACCAAGCGAGCUGGAAAGGCACAGGGCCUCAGUUAUGCAUCAACACUGGGACAAAACAGAACAGAAAAAUGUGUGAACAACUAAAAUCUGACGGGCCACCUACCUUCUUGGGAAUGGAAGUCAAGUUUUUUCCUGUUGCCAUGGUCAUGAUGGAGCUGUGAGGAGGCUUGCCCAGGAGCGAGAUACUGGAGAAAGAGCAGAAGGAGAGAUAUUCCUGUGAGCCUCUUCUGAAGAAAGUACAAGCAGCAGUGAUGAGCCUACAGGGAUCAAAGUCAGCCUACGCUGGAAAGUGCAUUCAUUUUUAGGCCAGACACAGAACUGAAGGGCGGUACAAGGCCAAAUAGUUCUCCUGCUUGAAGAGAUCUUUAGCACCCGGUGUGAAACCUGAAACGUGAACACAAGGAGGAGAAAAAUUAAGCUCAAACCAAAGCAAAAGAAA